UCAAGCGCUUUUUUAUUUCUGAUUGUUUUAAAAUAAAUUGAUUCACACUGUUCUUGGUAAGAAUCAAUUUGACUUCUAACGAAAAAAGUCAUCAUCAGAGAAAUACGCAAACGAAUUCAUUUUCAUCAUCGUUUUGUUUCCUUGAAUCAAACAAAAUGAAACUAUACUACUGUCUUUUGAUAUUAAUGACUAUUGCUAUGGUGCACGGAGAGGAACCUG